rnacentral:rRNA from 1 species
GACGAACGCUAGCUACAGGCUUAACACAUGCAAGUCGAGGGGCAGCAUGUUGGUUGCUUGCAACCAACGAUGGCGACCGGCGCACGGGUGAGUAACGCGUAUCCAACCUUCCGCAUACUCGGGAAUAGCCUUUCGAAAGAAAGAUUAAUGCCCGAUGGUUUCCCGAAUCCGCAUGAGCGCGGGAAUAAAGAUUCAUCGGUAUGCGAUGGGGAUGCGUCCCAUUAGCUUGUUGGCGGGGUAACGGCCCACCAAGGCUACGAUGGGUAGGGGGUCUGAGAGGAAGGUCCCCCACAUUGGAACUGAGACACGGUCCAAACUCCUACGGGAGGCAGCAGUGAGGAAUAUUGGUCAAUGGGCGAGAGCCUGAACCAGCCAAGUAGCGUGAGGGAUGACCGCCCUACGGGUCGUAAACCUCUUUUAUAAGGGAAUAAAGAUAAGUACGCGUACUUAGUUGCAUGUACCUUAUGAAUAAGCAUCGGCUAACUCCGUGCCAGCAGCCGCGGUAA